rnacentral:rRNA from 1 species
AUACCGUGAAACUGCGAAUGGCUCAUUAAAUCAGUUAUCGUUUAUUUGAUAGUACCUUACUACUUGGAUACCCGUGGUAAUUCUAGAGCUAAUACAUGCUGAAAACCCCGACUUCGGAAGGGGUGUAUUUAUUAGAUAAAAAACCAAUGCCCUUCGGGGCUACUUGGUGAUUCAUAAUAACUUAACGGAUCGCAUGGCCUUGCGCCGGCGACGGUUCAUUCAAAUUUCUGCCCUAUCAACUUUCGAUGGUAAGGUAUUGGCUUACCAUGGUUUCAACGGGUAACGGGGAAUAAGGGUUCUAUUCCGGAGAGGGAGCCUGAGAAACGGCUACCACAUCCAAGGAAGGCAGCAGGCGCGCAAAUUACCCAAUCCCGACACGGGGAGGUAGUGACAAUAAAUACUGAUACAGGGCUCUUUUGGGUCUUGUAAUUGGAAUGAGUACAAUUUAAAUCCCUUAACGAGGAACAAUUGGAGGGCAAGUCUGGUGCCAGCAGCCGCGGUAAUUCCAGCUCCAAUAGCGUAUAUUAAAGUUGUUGCAGUUAAAAAGCUCGUAGUUGAACCUUGGGCCUGGCUGGCCGGUCCGCCUCACCGCGUGUACUGGUCCGGCCGGGCCUUUCCUUCUGGAGAGCCCCAUGCCCUUCACUGGGUGUGCGGGGGAACCAGGACUUUUACUUUGAAAAAAUUAGAGUGUUCAAAGCAGGCCUUUGCUCGAAUACGUUAGCAUGGAAUAAUAGAAUAGGACGUGUGGUUCUAUUUUGUUGGUUUCUAGAACCGCCGUAAUGAUUAAUAGGGAUAGUCGGGGGCAUCAGUAUUCAAUUGUCAGAGGUGAAAUUCUUAGAUUUAUUGAAGACUAACUACUGCGAAAGCAUUUGCCAAG